CCGGUAGUAAAAUGGUUGUCAAAUGAGUUAACAGGACUUAGGUUCAGCUUUCUUAAUGGCUUUUUGCGCCAAUGAGGGAAUAAAACUAUGUUUUAUUUUUAAAAACAGAAGCGCACAAUUGAUUUUCAAGGAGUUAAACGAACUCCUAUAUAUUUUGUAAUACGAACUUUGCUAAAUAAACUACUGCCCACACUAAUCCCCGCUAACAGUGUUUUUAUGUAAAAA